rnacentral:rRNA from 1 species
UACAUAGGGUGCAAGCGUUGUCCGGAAUUACUGGGCGUAAAGCGUGCGCAGGCGGUUGUGCAAGACCGAUGUGAAAUCCCCGGGCUUAACCUGGGAAUUGCAUUGGUGACUGCACGGCUAGAGUGUGUCAGAGGGGGGUAGAAUUCCACGUGUAGCAGUGAAAUGCGUAGAGAUGUGGAGGAAUACCGAUGGCGAAGGCAGCCCCCUGGGAUAACACUGACGCUCAUGCACGAAAGCGUGGGGAGCGAACAGGAUUAGAAACCCGUGUAGUCC